rnacentral:lncRNA from 1 species
GUGGAUUUCAGCAAAGAUAAGCUAAAUAUCAGGUCUUUAUUUUUAGUUAAAGAGCAUAGAAUUCAAUGCCUUUCCUCCCACGAGCCUAUUUACAUACCUGCUGUGCUACCUAUUUGCCUUCACCUGCUUCCCAAUUAAUACCCCAUUAAGCUGCUCCACCUGCAGUGGCUUUUACCUUCGCCACAGCCUUGAAACCAUCACUCAUCUGCUUCAGCUCAUUGUUUCUUUUGGGAAGAUAAACGAAAGCUCCACGAACAACAAUGGCAGUGCUUUGCACAUACAGGAUGUGUGUUCAUAAAAGACAGUAGCCAGAAGCUGUGGGCACCUCUGGUCAAGAAAAUCACUAGUUGGCCAAAAAUUCUAGAGUAGUGAAGCUGGUAUUGUGGAAGAUCAGAGGGGAAGACAUGCCCAUCUUAAUUAUUCAGAACUGCAGAGGAAAUCCAGCUACAUCUUCAUGAUGCUGGGCACCAAGCCACCUUUCCCUGGGGGUGCUCUCCACCUGGCUCCUGUCCCCAGGAUGCUGUGAGCCCGUGCAGGCAGGAUUCUCAGUGGAUAGUUCAUGCUGGAUAAUGACUCAGGGAGAGACGCCAAGGAAAUGUCUGUGUGUGUCGAGGGGGUAUAUUCCAAAAGGAGUGACGGACAUAUGUGAUAUUUCACUGCAGGUCUCAGGUCUUCAAGGACAAGAAAUGUAUGUUACUGGGCUACAAGAAAGUUUCCAUGCAAG